AUCACUUCUCAGCCUUUUGCCCAAGAUCAAGUAUAGUAUUUGUUCUUAUCAGUUUACUCUGAUACGUCCUCUAACUGAGGGCAUUAUAAUUAAAUGUAUUUUUGUAGCAGAAAGAUGGAAUAGGAGCUUGCUCAGUCCACUUCACGCAUUGACCCAGUAUUGCAGUACUUCCAGGAACAAUGCAUCCGCC